rnacentral:lncRNA from 1 species
UAGGAACAAGUCUUCCGCUUCAACUCUGGGACUGUUGCCAUCUCUAUCAGUGAACAAGCUCUGGAAUGUACCUGAGAAAUGAUAUGCAUGCAGGGAUUAGUUUUUUUGUUUUUUUUUUUUUAUUUUCCCCCUUUUUUUUGUAUCUUUUUUUUUAUUGCGUUUCUUUUGAAAAAUAAAUAUGCUAUGAUGCAAAUGAUGCAGAC